AUGGCAGGGAGUGUCCCUUGGGCGGCAAGUAGGAGACUGUGGGGCUGGAUGCCUUCGGCAUGCCGAAGCUUCUCUCUGGGCUUCCCACGGUUGGCCUUCGUAAGGCUCACUCUUCCACCUCCCAAAGUGGUUGAUCGCUGGAAAGAGAGAGGGCUCUGUUUGGCGUCUACGACAACAUUGGAAUCCUGGGGAAUUUCGAGAAGCACCCAAAAGAACUGAUCAAGGGCCCAGUAUGGCUUCGAGGCUGGAGAGGAAAUGAAUUGCAGCGUUGUGUCCGAAAGAAGAAAUUUGUGGGAAGCAGGAUGUUCAUUGAGGACCUGCAUAACCUUAACAAACGGAUCAGCUAUCUCUACAAACACUUUAACCGACAUGGGAAGUACAGAUAG
rnacentral:lncRNA from 1 species